AUGAACGCUGGCGGCGUGCCUAAUACAUGCAAGUCGAGCGAACAGACGAGGAGCUUGCUCCUCUGACGUUAGCGGCGGACGGGUGAGUAACACGUGGACAACCUACCUAUAAGACUGGGAUAACUUCGGGAAACCGGAGCUAAUACCGGAUAAUAUAUUGAACCGCAUGGUUCAAUAGUGAAAGACGGUUUUGCUGUCACUUAUAGAUGGAUCCGCGCCGCAUUAGCUAGUUGGUAAGGUAACGGCUUACCAAGGCAACGAUGCGUAGCCGACCUGAGAGGGUGAUCGGCCACACUGGAACUGAGACACGGUCCAGACUCCUACGGGAGGCAGCAGUAGGGAAUCUUCCGCAAUGGGCGAAAGCCUGACGGAGCAACGCCGCGUGAGUGAUGAAGGUCUUCGGAUCGUAAAACUCUGUUAUUAGGGAAGAACAAAUGUGUAAGUAACUAUGCACGUCUUGACGGUACCUAAUCAGAAAGCCACGGCUAACUACGUG
rnacentral:rRNA from 1 species